rnacentral:rRNA from 1 species
GACGUAGGGUGCAAGCGUUGUCCGGAAUCACUGGGCGUAGAGAGCUCGUAGGCUGGGUCGUGCGUCGUGGAGUAAAUUUCUCUGCUUAACGGAGACAUCAUCUGCGAUACGGCGACUCUUGAGGACGGGAGAGGAAAGUGGAAUUCCGAGUGUAGCGGUGAAAUGCGUAGAGAUUCGGAGGAACACCAGUGGCGAAGGCGACUUUCUGGCCUGAUUCUGACGCUGAGGAGCGAAAGCCAGGGUAGCGAACGGG